rnacentral:rRNA from 1 species
GGGUUGUGAGGUUAAGCGACUAAGCGUACACGGUGGAUGCCCUGGCAGUCAGAGGCGAUGAAGGACGUGCUAAUCUGCGAUAAGCGUCGGUAAGGUGAUAUGAACCGUUAUAACCGGCGAUUUCCGAAUGGGGAAACCCAGUGUGAUUCGUCACACUAUCAUUAACUGAAUCCAUAGGUUAAUGAGGCGAACCGGGGGAACUGAAACAUCUAAGUACCCCGAGGAAAAGAAAUCAACCGAGAUUCCCCCAGUAGCGGCGAGCGAACGGGGAGCAGCCCAGAGCCUGAAUCAGUGUGUGUGUUAGUGGAAGCGUCUGGAAAGGCGCGCGAUACAGGGUGACAGCCCCGUACACAAAAAUGCACAUGCUGUGAGCUCGAUGAGUAGGGCGGGACACGUGGUAUCCUGUCUGAAUAUGGGGGGACCAUCCUCCAAGGCUAAAUACUCCUGACUGACCGAUAGUGAACCAGUACCGUGAGGGAAAGGCGAAAAGAACCCCGGCGAGGGGAGUGAAAAAGAACCUGAAACCGUGUACGUACAAGCAGUGGGAGCACAGAGCAAUCUGUGUGACUGCGUACCUUUUGUAUAAUGGGUCAGCGACUUAUAUUCUGUAGCAAGGUUAACCGAAUAGGGGAGCCGAAGGGAAACCGAGUCUUAACUGGGCGUUAAGUUGCAGGGUAUAGACCCGAAACCCGGUGAUCUAGCCAUGGGCAGGUUGAAGGUUGGGUAACACUAACUGGAGGACCGAACCGACUAAUGUUGAAAAAUUAGCGGAUGACUUGUGGCUGGGGGUGAAAGGCCAAUCAAACCGGGAGAUAGCUGGUUCUCCCCGAAAGCUAUUUAGGUAGCGCCUCGUGAAUUCAUCUCCGGGGGUAGAGCACUGUUUCGGCAAGGGGGUCAUCCCGACUUACCAACCCGAUGCAAACUGCGAAUACCGGAGAAUGUUAUCACGGGAGACACACGGCGGGUGCUAACGUCCGUCGUGAAGAGGGAAACAACCCAGACCGCCAGCUAAGGUCCCAAAGUCAUGGUUAAGUGGGAAACGAUGUGGGAAGGCCCAGACAGCCAGGAUGUUGGCUUAGAAGCAGCCAUCAUUUAAAGAAAGCGUAAUAGCUCACUGGUCGAGUCGGCCUGCGCGGAAGAUGUAACGGGGCUAAACCAUGCACCGAAGCUGCGGCAGCGACGCUUAUGCGUUGUUGGGUAGGGGAGCGUUCUGUAAGCCUGUGAAGGUGUACUGUGAGGUAUGCUGGAGGUAUCAGAAGUGCGAAUGCUGACAUAAGUAACGAUAAAGCGGGUGAAAAGCCCGCUCGCCGGAAGACCAAGGGUUCCUGUCCAACGUUAAUCGGGGCAGGGUGAGUCGACCCCUAAGGCGAGGCCGAAAGGCGUAGUCGAUGGGAAACAGGUUAAUAUUCCUGUACUUGGUGUUACUGCGAAGGGGGGACGGAGAAGGCUAUGUUGGCCGGGCGACGGUUGUCCCGGUUUAAGCGUGUAGGCUGGUUUUCCAGGCAAAUCCGGAAAAUCAAGGCUGAGGCGUGAUGACGAGGCACUACGGUGCUGAAGCAACAAAUGCCCUGCUUCCAGGAAAAGCCUCUAAGCAUCAGGUAACAUCAAAUCGUACCCCAAACCGACACAGGUGGUCAGGUAGAGAAUACCAAGGCGCUUGAGAGAACUCGGGUGAAGGAACUAGGCAAAAUGGUGCCGUAACUUCGGGAGAAGGCACGCUGAUAUGUAGGUGAAGUCCCUCGCGGAUGGAGCUGAAAUCAGUCGAAGAUACCAGCUGGCUGCAACUGUUUAUUAAAAACACAGCACUGUGCAAACACGAAAGUGGACGUAUACGGUGUGACGCCUGCCCGGUGCCGGAAGGUUAAUUGAUGGGGUUAGCGCAAGCGAAGCUCUUGAUCGAAGCCCCGGUAAACGGCGGCCGUAACUAUAACGGUCCUAAGGUAGCGAAAUUCCUUGUCGGGUAAGUUCCGACCUGCACGAAUGGCGUAAUGAUGGCCAGGCUGUCUCCACCCGAGACUCAGUGAAAUUGAACUCGCUGUGAAGAUGCAGUGUACCCGCGGCAAGACGGAAAGACCCCGUGAACCUUUACUAUAGCUUGACACUGAACAUUGAGCCUUGAUGUGUAGGAUAGGUGGGAGGCUUUGAAGUGUGGACGCCAGUCUGCAUGGAGCCGACCUUGAAAUACCACCCUUUAAUGUUUGAUGUUCUAACGUUGACCCGUAAUCCGGGUUGCGGACAGUGUCUGGUGGGUAGUUUGACUGGGGCGGUCUCCUCCUAAAGAGUAACGGAGGAGCACGAAGGUUGGCUAAUCCUGGUCGGACAUCAGGAGGUUAGUGCAAUGGCAUAAGCCAGCUUGACUGCGAGCGUGACGGCGCGAGCAGGUGCGAAAGCAGGUCAUAGUGAUCCGGUGGUUCUGAAUGGAAGGGCCAUCGCUCAACGGAUAAAAGGUACUCCGGGGAUAACAGGCUGAUACCGCCCAAGAGUUCAUAUCGACGGCGGUGUUUGGCACCUCGAUGUCGGCUCAUCACAUCCUGGGGCUGAAGUAGGUCCCAAGGGUAUGGCUGUUCGCCAUUUAAAGUGGUACGCGAGCUGGGUUUAGAACGUCGUGAGACAGUUCGGUCCCUAUCUGCCGUGGGCGCUGGAGAACUGAGGGGGGCUGCUCCUAGUACGAGAGGACCGGAGUGGACGCAUCACUGGUGUUCGGGUUGUCAUGCCAAUGGCACUGCCCGGUAGCUAAAUGCGGAAGAGAUAAGUGCUGAAAGCAUCUAAGCACGAAACUUGCCCCGAGAUGAGUUCUCCCUGAC